UACCCUACGGGAGGCAGCAGUAGGGAAUCUUCCACAAUGGGCGAAAGCCUGAUGGAGCAACGCCGCGUGGGUGAAGAAGGUCUUCGGAUCGUAAAACCCUGUUGUUAGAGAAGAAAGUGCGUGAGAGUAACUGUUCACAUUUCGACGGUAUCUAACCAGAAAGCCACGGCUAACUACGUGCCAGCAGCCGCGGUAAUACGUAGGUGGCAAGCGUUAUCCGGUUUAUUUGG
rnacentral:rRNA from 1 species